rnacentral:rRNA from 1 species
GAGUUUGAUCAUGGCUCAGAAUCAACGCUGGCGGCGUGCCUCAGACAUGCAAGUCGAACGAUUAAAGCUCCCUUCGGGGAGUGCAUAAAGUGGCGCACGGGUGAGUAACACGUAAGUAUCUACCCUCGGGUGGGGAAUAACGUUCGGAAACGAACGCUAAUACCGCAUAAUGCAGCGGCACCGCAAGGUGACAGUUGUUAAAGAUUUAUUGCCUGGGGAGGAGCUUGCGGCAGAUUAGCUUGUUGGUAAGGUAACGGCUUACCAAGGCUACGAUCUGUAUCCGGUCUAAGAGGACGGUCGGACACACUGACACUGAAUAACGGGUCAGACUCCUACGGGAGGCAGCAGUCGGGAAUUUUGGGCAAUGGGGGAAACCCUGACCCAGCAACGCCGCGUGAAGGAUGAAGUAUUUCGGUAUGUAAACUUCGAAAGAAUAGGAAGAAUUAAUGACGGUACUAUUUGUAAGGUCCGGCUAACUACGUGCCAGCAGCCGCGGUAAUACGUAGGGACCAAGCGUUGUUCGGAUUUACUGGGCGUAAAGGGCGCGUAGGCGGCGUGACAAGUCAAUUGUGAAAUCUCCGGGCUUAACUCGGAACGGUCAAUUGAUACUGUUGUGCUAGAGUACAGAAGGGGCAAUCGGAAUUCUUGGUGUAGCGGUGAAAUGCGUAGAUAUCAAGAGGAACACCUGAGGUGAAGACGGGUUGCUGGGCUGAUACUGACGCUGAGGCGCGAAAGCUAGGGUAGCAAACGGGAUUAGAUACCCCGGUAGUCCUAGCCCUAAACGAUGAAUACUUGGUGUCUGGAGUUAUUCUCUGGGUGCGUCGCUAACGUUUUAGUAUCGCUGGGAGUACGCACG